UCGCGCCCGGGGCCCACCGCACCAGUGCCAGUUGUUCACGUUGGUCCCAUCCUCCCGCUCCUCCACGAUCCAGCGCGGGUCCCCCUGGCCCCACUUGGCCAUGGCGGCGCUGACGACGACGGCCCUGGUAGCGGGAGCGCGCGGGUUUCCGGCCAGAAGUGCUCCUCUAGAGACAAAAGAUCGUGCUUGCAAGUUCCCGGGAUUGUGGAUACAGUUACAAUAAGGGUUUAUUAAUUCUUUCCAUCGUUUUUCACCUUCUAGCAAAAACUGAAACCACCAUCUGGAAAGUGUUUCUUAGAUUUAUUUAACAAAUAAAAUAGGUAGUUAAAUGGGAGAUGGGG
ensembl:processed_transcript